rfam:Ictidomys tridecemlineatus contig046588, whole genome shotgun sequence.
GGAGUUGUAGCUCAAUGGAAGAGCACUUGCCUAGCAUGUAUGAGGCACUGGUUUAAAUUCUCAGCACCA